rnacentral:rRNA from 1 species
AACUUGGGAAGAAUGUAUAGGUAAGACUAAUUAACCAAAAUAAUAUUUGUUUAAUAUCGUUAUUCUCGAAUAAAAUUCAGUUUAGAAUAUUGAUAAUGACAAUUUCUACUCAAAGUCUUGACUAAGGUACGUGCCAGCAGUCGCGGUAAGACGUGCAAGGCUAGUGUUAUUCAUAUUUAAUAGGUUUAAAGGGUACGUAGACGGUAAAUAAAGCCUUAAUUGGAACUAAUUUACUAGAGUUAUUUGUGAGGGAGCUAGAAAGUACUGGUGGUGGAGGAAUAAAAUCCGAUGAUACCUUUACUCGAAGGAGUUAGAUACGGCACAGGUAAAGGCGUAGGCGUCUCCUUAUGAAAUAACUGACGUUGAGGGACGAAGGCUUCAUAUAACAAAGAGGAUUAGAAACCCUUGUAGUAGACAGCAGAAAACGAUGAGUGCCAAAGGGUAGAUUAUAUUUAUUCUAUAAAUGAAAGUGUAAGCACUCCACCUCAAGAGUAAUUUGGCAACAUAGGAACUGAAAUCAUUAGACCGUUUCUGAAACCAGUAGUGAAGUAUGUUGUUUAAUUUGAUAACCCACAAAGAACCUUACCAAAACUAGUUCUUGUUGAACAGGUGCACUAUUCAACUUGAAUAAUUAUGCAACAGUAUAAUUACAGGAGCUGCACGGCUGUCUUCAGCUAGUGUCGUGAGACCGUGGUUCACUCCAUUGAAUUAGCGUAACCCCUUUCUUUAUUUUUAGAUAAAGUUAUUCUCUAGAAAAACGGAUAAGGUAGCAGGGACCAAGACAAGUCAACAUGGCCAUAAAUGUAGUGGGCUACAAACGUGCCACGUAAGCCUUUACAAAAGGAUGUGAAAUCGUGAGAUUAAGCUAACCCCCAAAAUUGG